rnacentral:rRNA from 1 species
AAUGAACGCUGGCGGCGUGCUUAACACAUGCAAGUCGUACGAGAAACCCCGGCUUGCCGGGGGAGUAAAGUGGCGCACGGGUGAGUAACGCGUGGGUAAUCUACCCUCGAAUUGGGGAUAACACACCGAAAGGUGUGCUAAUACCGAAUAAGACCACGACCUCCACGGGGGUUGCGGUCAAAGAUGGCCUCUGCUUGCAAGCUGUCGCUUGAGGAUGAGCCCGCGUACCAUUAGCUUGUUGGUGGGGUAAUGGCCUACCAAGGCAACGAUGGUUAGCUGGUCUGAGAGGAUGGCCAGCCACACUGGAACUGGAACACGGUCCAGACUCCUACGGGAGGAAGCAGUGAGGAAUUUUGCGCAAUGGGGGAAACCCUGACGCAGCAACGCCGCGUGAGUGAAGAAGGCCUUCGGGUUGUAAAGCUCUGUCAAGUGGGAAGAACCUUUUUCGGCCGAAUACGCCGAGAAACUGACGGUACCGCUGAAGGAAGCACCGGCUAACUCCGUGCCAGCCGCCGCCGUAA